CCCCUGCCCGCAGCGCCCGCCGCCCGUUAAGUGCGAGCCCGGGCACAGGGGCCGGAUCAGGCCGGGGGCCGGCGGCGGUCUGGGAGCGGCGCGCCAUGUACACCAUCACCAAGGGGCCCAGCAAGCUGGUCGCCCAGCGCCGCACAGGUCCCACGCAGCAGCAGGUGGAGGGCCGGCUCGGCGAGCUCCUGAAAUGCCGGCAGCCCGCGCCGCCGACCGCGCAGCCCCGUGGGCGCAGCCCUUCGCGCAGCCGCCGGGACCCUGGCCCCUGUCGAGUCCGGGGCCAAGGCUUGUGUUCAAUCGUGUGAAUGGCCGGCGGGCUCCCUCCACGUCCCCAUCCCUCGAGGGGACCCAGGAGACCUACACACCGGCCCACGAGGAGAAUGUCCGCUUUGUGUCCGAAGCCUGGCAGCAGGUGCAGCAGCAGCUGAAUGGUGGCCCAGCCAGUAAGGGCGGGCCGAGGCCUGUGCAGUACGUGGAGAGGACCCCCAAUCCCCGGCUGCAGAACUUCGUGCCCAUUGACCUGGACGAGUGGUGGGCGCAGCAGUUCCUGGCUAGAAUCACCAGCUGUUCCUAGCGGCUGCUGGGAGGAAAUGCUGCUACGGCCGACCGUCACCAGGAGAGGAACUUGGCGCCCUGCCCGCCCACCCACUGCACCUGGCUGAGUGCCGGCCACACCUGAAGUGCCAGCAUCGGGACUUUUGCACGUGUUGUCCCUUUGGCCUGGCUGUCCCAAGCUGCCAUGGCCAGGGCCUGAACCUGUCUGACCUCAGCCCUGCUCACUGUGCCCAGGAACCAGCGACCAGCCCCUGGGGCUGGCAGGGAGGAACUCCGGGCUAAUAAAGUUGGGAAACUG